CAGUCGCCACGGUAAUACGUAGGGUGCGAGCGUUAAUCGGAAUUACUGGGCGUAAAGCGUGCGCAGGCGGUUUUGUAAGACAGGCGUGAAAUCCCCGGGCUCAACCUGGGAAUGGCGCUUGUGACUGCAAAGCUAGAGUGCGGCAGAGGGGGAUGGAAUUCCGCGUGUAGCAGUGAAAUGCGUAGAUAUGCGGAGGAACACCGAUGGCGAAGGCAAUCCCCUGGGCCUGCACUGACGCUCAUGCACGGAAGCGUGGGGAGCAACCAGGAUUAGAUACCCCUGUAGUCCCUGUCUCUUAUAC
rnacentral:rRNA from 1 species